UACUGCAAGGAGAAAUUCUUUCACUGGUCAAAGCUGGAAUUAAAUAUAUUAAGAAAGCAAACUACUUACAUGAUAGAGAAAAUAAUUAUUAAGUGGCUGAUUCUUGAAAGGAAUUCAUCUUUCAGCACUCACUGAGAUACAUGAGUUUAAUAAGUGUGAGGCUUGGAUAUGUAUAAUACCUACAUCAGCAGACUUCAGCAGAAGACACAGACAGUGAGGAAGAGCACAUUUCAUUUACCUUGACAUUAAUGUUUGAACAAUGAACUGAUACACAAUACUCAAGUCAUCAGAUGAAACUGAAACAAGAAGAACUUUUGUUUUGAAGGCCCCUAUCUUGCUGUACUAAAUGAAGACAUUGAAUCGCAGCCUGUCCACCAUGGUUUAUAAUUUCUCCCUGAUAGAGGACUGAUACAAUACCCAUGGAAGUCAAUGGAAGGUUAUCAAGACUUACAGGAAUAAUUUACCACAACUAAACGUCUGCUUUGUCUACAGAGAUA